rnacentral:rRNA from 1 species
AGAGUUUGAUCAUGGCUCAGAAUCAACGCUGGCGGCGUGCCUAACACAUGCAAGUCGAACGCGGUUAGUAGCAAUACUAACCGAGUGGCGAACGGGUGAGUAACACGUGGGUGACCUACCUUCGAGUGGGGGAUAACGUCCCGAAAGGGACGCUAAUACCGCAUAACAUCCUUCCUUUGAACAGGGGGAGAUCAAAGCCGGGGAUCGUAAGACCUGGCGCUUGAUGAGGGGCCCGCGUCCGAUUAGCUAGUUGGUGAGGUAAUGGCUCACCAAGGCGACGAUCGGUAGCCGGCCUGAGAGGGCGGACGGCCACACUGGCACUGAAACACGGGCCAGACUCCUACGGGAGGCAGCAGUGGGGAAUCUUGCACAAUGGGGGCAACCCUGAUGCAGCGACGCCGCGUGAGCGAUGAAGCCCUUCGGGGUGUAAAGCUCUUUCGACGGGAACGAUAAUGACGGUACCCGGAGAAGAAGCUGCGGCUAACUACGUGCCAGCAGCCGCGGUAAUUCA